UGGGGAAUAUUGGACAAUGGGCGAAAGCCUGAUCCAGCCAUGCCGCGUGUGUGAAGAAGGUCUUCGGAUUGUAAAGCACUUUAAGUUGGGAGGAAGGGCAGUAAGCGAAUACCUUGCUGUUUUGACGUUACCGACAGAAUAAGCACCGGCUAACUCUGUGCCAGCAGCCGCGGUAAUACAGAGGGUGCAAGCGUUAUUCGGAAUUACUGGGCGUAAAGCGCGCGUAGGUGGUUCGUUAAGUUGAAUGUGAAAGCCCCGGGCUCAACCUGGGAACUGCAGCCGAAACUGGCGAGCUAGAGUAGGGCAGAGGGUGGUGGAAUUUCCUGUGUAGCGGUGAAAUGCGUAGAUAUAGGAAGGAACACCAGUGGCGAAGGCGACCACCUGGGCUCAUACUGACACUGAGGUGCGAAAGCGUGGGGAGCAAACAGG
rnacentral:rRNA from 1 species